AAGUCGUAACAAGGUUUCCGUAGGUGAACCUGCGGAAGGAUCAUUAACACGUAUCCAAACGUUAAAACAACCCUGUGAACCUUCAGCGUGUUCUUGCAGGACAUCAAAACAGCAAUCCCGAGUAAAUCAGGCGCUAAAGAAUUACAGAUUUUGACCUUGGGAAGUUCUGUGUGUACGUGGACGCUGCAAUUGAGCGCUAGAUAAAGCACCCUGGUACCCUAGAGUACUCCCCUGUCUGAAAGCGAAUGUUCAGGGUGGCGCAGUCAACGAUACAGGGGUGAGGGAAAACCCCUACGUCAUCCCUAUGUACCCUCCAGGACUUGGCGAAAGCUGACUCCGUCAUAAAUCGAACAACUGUUAACAAUGGAUAUCUUGGUUCUC
rnacentral:misc_RNA from 1 species